GCAAUACGUCAGCGGCAGACGGGUGAGUAACGCGUGGGAACAUACCUUUUGGUUCGGAACAACACAGGGAAACUUGUGCUAAUACCGGAUAAGCCCUUACGGGGAAAGAUUUAUCGCCGAAAGAUUGGCCCGCGUCUGAUUAGCUAGUUGGUGAGGUAACGGCUCACCAAGGCAACGAUCGGUAGCCGGCCUGAGAGGGCGGACGGCCACACUGGGACUGAGACACGGCCCAGACUCCUACGGGAGGCAGCAGUAAGGAAUAUUGCGCAAUGGGCGAAAGCCUGACGCAGCGACGCCGCGUGGGGGAUGAAGGUCUUCGGA
rnacentral:rRNA from 1 species